CGGGUGGUAAUGCCGGAUGUUCCACAUGAUCGCAUGUGAUUGUGGGAAAGAUUCUAUCGGCGUGGGAUGGGGUCGCGUCCUAUCAGCUUGUUGGUGAGGUAACGGCUCACCAAGGCUUCGACGGGUAGCCGGCCUGAGAGGGCGACCGGCCACAUUGGGACUGAGAUACGGCCCAGACUCCUACGGGAGGCAGCAGUGGGGAAUAUUGCACAAUGGGCGCAAGCCUGAUGCAGCGACGCCGCGUGAGGGAUGGAGGCCUUCGGGUUGUAAACCUCUUUUGUUUGGGAGCAAGCCUUCGGGUGAGUGUACCUUUCGAAUAAGCGCCGGCUAACUACGUGCCAGCAGCCGCGGUAAUACGUAGGGCGCAAGCGUUAUCCGGAUUUAUUGGGCGUAAAGGGCUCGUAGGCGGCUCGUCGCGUCCGGUGUGAAAGUCCAUCGCUUAACGGUGGAUCUGCGCCGGGUACGGGCGGGCUGGAGUGCGGUAGGGGAGACUGGAAUUCCCGGUGUAACGGUGGAAUGUG
rnacentral:rRNA from 1 species